rnacentral:lncRNA from 1 species
UGGGAAGAAAAAUAGAUCCCAUUGAGCAAUUGUGUUUAGAGUGAUGCUAAUGUUGACAUAUCCACCAUGUCCUAAGCUUGCAUUGAGAGUACAUCUUACCAUGACUGAUAAAUUGUCCGUGACUUAAUAGUUGUUGAGGAUUAUAAUAAUUGAUUGCUCUUCUCUUUUGUUUGUACAUAAGGCUGCAGAAAGUAAUUAUAAACAGUCACUUUUGUUGUGGUUUCAUGAACCUUUUCCGUGUUUACUCAGUCUAAUAUCUAGUACUGGGUGAACUUUUCCAUGAUGGAUACACAUUUUAUGGAGCAUAGAUGCAUAAUAUGUAUCAACCAUUAAAUCUACAUCUUUAAAAUUCAUCAUCUUAUUUAACCCAAGCAUUUAUCAUAUUAACAUAACGUACUUUUUCUUGCUGUUCUAAAUUUAUUAGUUAUUUAAAUAUUUUGUUCUGCAUUUUGUCAAUCAUGGUGAUCUGAUAUGCUCUCACUGCAAUCAUGGUGAUCUGAUAUGCUCUCACUUUGUACAAAAGGCUGCAGAAAGCAAUUAUAAACAGUCACUGGUUUCAUGAACCUUUUCUGUGUUUACUCAGUCUAAUAUCUAGUAUCGGGUGAACUUUUCCAUGAUGGAUACACAUUUUAUGGAGCAUAAAUGCGUAAUAUGAAUCAACCAUUAUAUCUACAUCUUUAAAAUUCAUCAUCUUAUUUAACCCAAGCAUUUAUCAUAUUAACAUAACAUACUUUUUCUUGCUGUUCUAAAUUUAUUAGUUAUUUAAAUAUUUUGUUCUUUGUCAAUCAUGGUGAUAUGAUAUGCUCUCACUGCAAUCUUAAAACAGUUUAAAUUAGGGGAAAUUAUGAUCUAAUCAUGGCUUUCGUUAAGGGUGCUCAUGUCUUAGGACUGUUAUAGCAUGUUUUAAUACUUAAGAUUUUUGUGUUAGACAUGCUUUCGUUAUUGUUUGUGGAAUAUUUAGCCUUACGAGUAUUGGCUUACAUUUUGGAAUUGUUCAAUGGAUAAACAAGAAGGAUCUUAUCCUAUUCGCCUAUUAGUGAUGUGAUGGAUAUCAAACUGUCUAAAACUUUGACGCAUGCAUUUGUUUCAUUGUUUCUUGCUAAUUUUUGUCUGAAUGUGCUGCUCUUGAGGAUCAAACAUCAGGUUCGUUUAGAAAAUGUGGUCGAGUGAAAUAGGAACUAGAAUUGGAGAUUGUUAGGAAUUGGUUGUGUCCAAACAAUUCCUCUAGCUUAUGCGGACCACAUAUGAUUUCUUUCUUGUGAUGCGCACACCAUGAUAUGGUUGAGUUCUUAAUGGUUCUUGUGAUAACUUUGGUUCUCUUUAUUUUUUUCUUGUUGUUUGAUGGCUAGUGCCAAUUAGAAAUUCUCUGGUGUGCAUUCUUGGCUUAGAGCUAUUGCAUGAAUUAAUUAAUGUCAGAUCUUAACCGAUUAUUGGCUUUUCUAUUUGAGCAUUUUAUUUCCUUAAGUCGUUUAAUAUAUUAGAAUUUUCUCACUGGUGAUCAUGCACUUACUGGUCAUUUAUUUAUUCAACUGUGACCAGCAUCUAUAUUGGACUUGUGUUGUAUGUAUGUGUCAAAUACAUGUAUCUGACC